AUGCUUGAACCAUCUUUUCUUCCUCAGAUCAGCUCCAUUCAUUUUCUCUCUGCAUUCAAAGUUUAAUUUGAAUUUUCUCCGAACCCGUUUUCCGUUUCCGAUCAUUAUACUACCGAGAAUGAAUUCCAUGAGGAUGGCUGCACUCCCAAUUCUUGGAUUCAUGUUGAUGGCUCUGCUUCAACUCGGGUCGGGUCAAAUCACGGCUCCUUCUCCUGCUCCGGCCGCCGCCCCUUCCAAUGAUGGCGUCGCCAUUGAUCAAGGAAUUGCUUACGUUCUUCUGCUGGUUGCGCUGGCGGUUACAUAUUUAGUCCAUUAAUUAACAGAGUAGAAGAUCAGAGAUUCUUUUUUAGACAUUUUACUAAGCUACCAAAUUCUUUAUUAUUAUGUAUUUGAUUUUCUCCUACACCUGGAGAAUUUCAUACUUUUGUAUUCUUUCUUGAUGGGAUUGUAAAGGAGUUUUUCUUCGGUUAGUUACUACAUAUAUUAUAUGUAUAAUACAAAUUCGUUUACAGUUCA